rnacentral:rRNA from 1 species
UACGUAGGGUGCGAGCGUUGUCCGGAAUUACUGGGCGUAAAGAGCUUGUAGGUGGUUUGUCGCGUUGUUCGUGAAAUCUCACGGCUUAACUGUGAGCGUGCGGGCGAUACGGGCAGACUAGAGUACUGCAGGGGAGACUGGAAUUCCUGGUGUAGCGGUGGAAUGCGCAGAUAUCAGGAGGAACACCGGUGGCGAAGGCGGGUCUCUGGGCAGUAACUGACGCUGAGAAGCGAAAGCGUGGGGAGCGAAC